UGGGGAAUAUUGCGCAAUGGGGGAAACCCUGACGCAGCGACGCCGCGUGGGUGAUGAAGGCCUUCGGGUCGUAAAGCCCUGUCGGGAGGGAAGAAAAAAUCCGGACCUAAUACGUUCGGGAAUUGACGGUACCUCCUAAGGAAGCACCGGCUAACUCCGUGCCAGCAGCCGCGGUAAUACGGAGGGUGCUAGCGUUGUUCGGAAUCACUGGGCGUAAAGGGCGUGUAGGCGGUUUGGCAAGUCGGGUGUGAAAUUUCGAGGCUCAACCUCGAAACGCCACUCGAUACUGCCAUGACUGGAGUCCGGUAGAGGAGUGCGGAAUUCCUGGUGUAGCGGUGAAAUGCGCAGAUAUCAGGAGGAACACCAACGGCGAAGGCAGCACUCUGGGCCGGUACUGACGCUGAGGAGCGAAAGCGUGGGGAGCAAACAGGAUUAGAUACCCAAGUAGUCCCUGAGCGGGCUGGCAAGGCGCAU
rnacentral:rRNA from 1 species